CAGCGGGUGCAAGCCCCGCCCGGCAAAUGCUCCAGCCGGAAGCAACCGGAGCAGCUAUGGAGGCACGAAGUGGCUGAAGCCUUCGGUGAACUGAUGCUGUCGCUGGCGCGACGCAUCGUUG
rnacentral:ncRNA from 1 species